rnacentral:rRNA from 1 species
CAGUAGCCGCGGUAAUACGUAGGUGGCAAGCGUUGUCCGGAAUUAUUGGGCGUAAAGCGCGCGCAGGUGGUUUAAUAAGUCUGAUGUGGAAGCCCACGGCUCAACCGUGGAGGGUCAUUGGAAACUGUUAAACUUGAGUGCAGGAGAGAAAAGUGGAAUUCCUAGUGUAGCGGUGAAAUGCGUAGAGAUUAGGAGGAACACCAGUGGCGAAGGCGGCUUUUUGGCCUGUAACUGACACUGAGGCGCGAAAGCGUGGGGAGCAAACAGGAUUAGAUACCCCCGUAGUCCCUGUCUCUUAUAC